GCCGGGGUCGCUUAGCCUGGUAGAGCGCCAGCCUGGAAAGCUGGUGUCCGCAAGGACACAAGGGUUCAAAUCCCUUUCCCGGCGCCA
rnacentral:tRNA from 2 species